CCCGAGCUACAAACGCAACGCUGCUACCUACUCAUAUUCCAUUUCUUCACAAUUGUUUCUUCAUCCUUCUAAUGUACCAUUGGAUUUCAUAUCGAACUCACUUCGCCAUUUCCAUUCAGAUUUCGACGAUUCCAUCGCCGCUCACUGUGCGCACCAUUUCCCUGACUCGAUUCCAACUCAACUUACGGAAUCCACUCUCGAGCUUCCAGAAGAUGUCGCUGUAUGUCAGUAAACUGUGGGAAUGUAUCCAGAGAUGAACUUGAGUGUGUUUUCAGUAAUUUGGUUGUUGUAAUGUUCAGUUAAAAAGAUAAGGCUAUGGUUUUUUGGUAUUUGACUUUCAUUUGGAUGCGGAGAAGGCCUUGAGAGCAUUGGAAGGUUGAAAUAUAUGUGGCGAAGCUGCAGUGUCCAUUACAGCGGUGGAUGCAACAGGCAAGAACCAACAUGAGCAGGAGGACAAUAAUGAGAAUAUAACCAAACCAACUAUUGCCGAGAAUUUGUCUCCUAGGAUGGUAAAAUAGGCUGAGAGCUUUCAGCAUUCCAGAACACUAGGCGGAUGAUAUUCCAACUGAAUUUCGGAAGCCAACUCUGGAAACUCAUAUUUAUCCUCGUUCUAGCUGUUCAACCGUCAUAUCUACAGAGGAAAUGUGCCUGGUUCCUAGUAAAAGUGGCCUGGAACUUCCGGAAAGCCAUGAAGUAAAAUUAACAACAAAUGACUUCUUUGGUGCUGCUCGGUUGUGGCCUAUAUUAUUUAUUACCGGAGGUUGAAGAAGGGCCUAAUUUCAAUUGAGAAGUAUGCCAGCCGGGUUGCUCAGAAUCAGGAAUUUGGCAUUAUUGAUAAAUACUUAAGAAACAGUAGUGGAUGGGUAGAAUUUAGUCUUGAAAACCCUUGAUAAUUGGUACUGUCACAAAUGAUGCCUUACCAGUAGAUUUAUCCCAAAAUGGGCUCUGUGUCUAUGGCGUUUCUGUUUUUAUCUCCGCGCCUCUCGAUGGAAUUAAGAUGUGACUAUUCAAUAAUGAUUUCCAAAGAACUUUUCCCUGAGGUUGGGUGUGUCAUGGAGAAAAAGGUGCUGCUCAUCAUCCAUCCAAAUUUAAUCAAUUUUCUGGUAACUGGUAUACAAUUACUAUAGCUGUUUUCUUUCUUUUAUGAGGAGGGUGGGUUUUGGAUUAAAUGUUAGUAACAGAUGUGUAAUUAAUAAUUAUAUUAAUCUCGUGUUUAUCGAGAUCUCCGUGGAACAGUAGGAAUCAGAAAGGAAAGACAUUUCCAUAAUGGCCAACUUGUUUUGAUUAACAUGGUAGUAUAUUAUAGAAGAUGGAAAAUACAAUUGUAUAUGGAAAAUUGCGAUAAUGCAUUUGGCUGGUGUUACCAAAAAUAAUUUUCUUUCCAUUUGACAUAAGGAAUAGGAAUGGGGAAUUUGAGAAGAGGAAGAGUAAGAGUUUAAGGAGAUAAGAGCUUGCAUUUCUCUGCUAGUUUUGCUCUUCAUUGGAUUUUUGUUGUUUUUGAUUCAGUUUUAAUGAGUCAGCAAUUAAUAUUCCACAUCAGAUUUAUUAUGCCAUGUCACUCAGUGCCAAGUCUUGAGAAAUUUGUCACAUCAGUUAAAUGAAAAAACCCUCUAGGGAUUAAAGUGUGACUGUUUUAAAUAUUGUAGGAAUAGGGAAAAAAAACAACAAAAAUUGGUGAAACGAAAAUCAAAUUUGGUUAGAUUGGCAAGGACUAAAUAAAUGUUUAAACCUAAUAUAAUACAAUUUACUAAUGAAAUAAAUAGAUAGAUAAUGCUUUAAAAAUAAUAGAUUGAUGGAUAAGGGAUGUUAAAAAAUUAGAUGGAUAGGUAAGGUGAAAAUUAUAGUUAGAUACUAUUUACACAAGUAUUUCUUUCAAACUAUAAAUGUUAAAAAAUUCCCUUGUUCCGAAGUUAAUUUUCGGACGCCCUCUAUAAAUUUUCUUCAUAUGAAAAUGACUAAAGAGAUUUGUCUAAGUUAAAAUCUGGAUACUAUAUUCGUAGGAAAUGAUACACUUGAGUAUUUUUACGAAAUAAAAAUUUGCAGGCAAUUCCGGAGUAAAAUCCUCAGGAAAAGUCGCUGAAAAUCCGCAGCCCAUUCCAUUUAGAACUUCUGGUAUUACUUGCAGAAAAUGCAGAAAAUACUACAAGUAUAUCCGCAGGGAUGUGAAAUAUUAGAAAAUCUAUGGAGUUUGCCACGGAAAUUUUAGGGCAGCGUCCGGAAAUGUGAAAUAUUAGAAAACCUAUGGAAUUUGCCACGAAAAUUUUAGGGGUGCGUCCGGAAGUUGCAUCCGGAAGAUAACUUCUGUAUGUAACGAAAGGGUAUUUUCGAAUUUUUAUAGGGUGUCGGAGAAAUAUGUAAAAUUUAUUUAGCAACUCCAAAUUAUACCAGCUGAUAUCAUCAAUUACUGAUAUAACCUGUAAUGAUUUAUUUAUGAGCGUAAGACUAAUAUAGUACUAUCACCCUUCAAUUCUAAGACUUUACUCGCAUUGAUUUCUGGUUUAAUGCAUUGAUGUUCCUUUUUUGGACCCUGUUUUUUUGAAAAGGAAGGUAAAGAGGGGUUAUGAUUUUAUGAUACCGACUUCGUAUUGUUUGGUAUCACGAUCAUCAAGGAGAUGGGUGGAUUAGUUUUCUGCAGUGCUCAUUUAAAUUUGUAAUAUUUGCAUUUCUGCACACAUAAAGUGAGGAGAAAAACAAAUCUUAUAUAACAUUAGAUUAUGUAUUUUUUUUUUUACACGUAUUUUUUUUGUUUCAUUUUUGCUACCAGUAUCCGAUCCACUAGACUGCUUAAUUUAAUUCGGGGUCAAUUAUGGUAUAAGUGAUUCCAAUUAAUCUAAUUCAGGGUCAAUUAUGGUAUAAGUGAUUCCAAUUUCCUUUCGAUCGAAAUACACGUUGUAUUCCUACCAAAACAAAAUUUUACAUUGUAUUAUUUGUUUAUGCAUACCGAUAAAAAUUUGAAAAAUGAAAAAACUAAAGGUAAUAACAAAAGUCUGUGUAGGUGUCGGUAUGUGACACCACCACGGACACAUAAUUUUUUCAGAGGUGUUAGUGUUACAUAGCUCUGUUUGGUGACCUCGGUGAGUCCCUGUUACCUUGUGUUUGUGCGUCAUUGUACUGUGAUUUUUUAAAGCUAAUGUUAGCUUUUAGUUAACGUGCGGCCUAACCGUGUAUUUUUAAGUAAUUCCAACGUAGGCUUAAUUCCUUUUCCUUUCCCUUGUAAAAUUGACUUAAUUUGUACAGUAUGUAGUUUGAGUUGAGCCCUUGGACCCUCAUCUUGAUGACCUACCCCAUUAUUUCCCUUCUCUUAGCUGUGAUCCUUGCACAUCAUUUAUUGAUGUUAAUCACAAUAAUAACUAGGAGUUUUGAUGAUGCCUUGAUAGUCUUAGCAUGGAGUAUUCAAGUUAGGAGUGAAAGCAAAAUAAAAUUCUGAAUUGAAGUGACAAGUGUGAACAGUAAAUUUUUAAUUUUGAGAAGUUAAAAUUCAAAUAAAAAAAUGAUGAUCAUGGUGAAGUUAGGAUGAGAAAAUGGAUGGGCAUUUAUCAUAGGGAACAAAAUAUCUCCUUCAUUAUUCUCAACUGUCUCAAUUACUCUUGCAUUUAUGUGAUUUAAAUGUUGUUAAUAGAGUCUCCUUUUUUUUCAAUGCUUGGAACUACCCAACCGACCCUCUACCAUCUUUCAAUUCACCUAAUUGAUUAUCCCUGUCUUUCAAUUCAAACCUUCAAUGACAUUUUCAAUACUAUAUACUUCGUACAGCACAGCACAUAUUAUGACUUUCAUGCCAUUGCUCUCAUUAUACUUGUGUAUCAUGAUUGUAACCUAUAACAGCUUGGUCUUUUUGUUUAUUUGAGUUUUCUUUAUAGGAUAAACUUGACAUUCUGAUUAACUUGAUUCAUGUAAGAGGAGGAAAUGAACCUACCUACUACACCUAUAUAAUAAGGAUUUAAUUUGCAUAUAUCAUUAUCAUAAUAAACAUUUCAACAUUCAAUUAAAUCUUAUUAUGUACUUCUUCCUUCUCAUAAAAAUAAUUCAUAUUUACUAUUUAUAACCAGUUCUUAAAUUAAUGAUAAAAAUAAUUAUUUACUAAAAUUACUUUAUUAGUUGUAGCUAGUGGAGCGAGAAUCAAUAAAUAAAAGCAUAACCGUGGAAAAAUAGUCAUAAAUAUUUUAUUGAUAGAGAUAAAAAAAAAAGCACAAACAAAAUACUUUUUAUGAGUAGAUAGAGAUAAAAAAAAUAGAGAUAUUUCGAAAACUAUAACAUAACAAAGUUUGGUCUUUUUUUAUCUGAUUUAC